rnacentral:misc_RNA from 1 species
ACCAAGAUCUGAUUCCAUCUUUUUCUGCAAUCAACCAUUACAACAAACUGCCACAUCAAUCACAAACACGAAUCCCAAAUCACAAAACAAGUUCAGAAAAUGACUCUCAAUUCAACAAAAUUGGUAAGUCAAUCAAGAAUCUAAUUAUAAGCUAACAUAUAGUUAUUUAGUAUUAAACCAAACAAUAUGAAACCAUUUGUAUUGCUGAUGGGCAAUUGAUUGUCACAGAGAGCGAAAAUCCCUGAUUUCUGGGGACCAAGAAAAGCAAA